UUCAAAUAAAUGGUUGCCCAGUCUUUUUUUUUUUUGAAAAUGUCCAGUGAUGGAGCACCCACAACUUCUGAAGGCAAGGUCUUCCAUUGUCCCAAAGGUGCUUUUUCAAGAGGCAACUAGACUUUCUUGUUUUUCUUUGAAGACAUUCUGCUUCUCAUCCAAGAAGCUUCUUCAGCUGAAGAAGAAAAACGAGAAAGUCUGGUUGCCCUUGAAAAAGCAUCUUUGGGAUAAUCAUGACCUGGGUUACUGAGAAUCUGCAUAAACAUUAAGCUGUUCCAUUGGUUGAUUGUUCUCACCAUUAGGAAAUUUCUCCUUAUUUCUAAGUUGUUUCUCUUCUUGGAUAGUUUCCAUCCAUUGUUUCUCAUCUUUCCUUUUGAUGCUUUGGAAAAUAGUUUGACCCACUUGUCUCUGUAGGAAACAAGGGGGUCAAAUAUCAGAACACUGCUAUCAUGUCUCUUCUAGUUCAUCUAUUAUUAGACUAGACAUACCCAAUUCCUGUAAGUGUUCUUUUUAAGUUUUAGCCUCAAAUAUUGGCAGAGUCCAUUCUGAAAAAGUCACUGUGAGAUAGGUGGCUAUAUAAAUUAAAUAAAUAAAUAUACUUUGCAAAGCACAUCCAUAGAAGCUCUUCUUCCCACUAUUACAGUUUAUUAUGAUAUUCCACCUCUCUCCUAAAACUGCCCAGCACUAAUUUAGAAAGAAGUCCAUUGCUUCAUUGUGUAGCUCAUGCUUGGAUAUAUGAAUUCAUAUAUUCAUAUAUAAUUCUGGUAGUUCCAUGGCAAAGAUUUUGAGUAUCUCUGAUAGGAAUAAAUUCUUCUUGAAGACAUCCCGCAAGCAUAUUCAAGGUCGUUAUUGACAAAACAAAAGUAGACAAUUCCUUUGGUCUGAUUUAACAAAAACAUUUUAUUUAAUCUUAAACUGCAAUUUCGCAAGCACUGCUGUGCACUUAAAAAUAGGACCUGUUAUACUUUUAUUGUUUAGGUUGGGGAAAGCUGAUGGGAAAGAGUAAGCAGCCACAAGCAAAAAUGCUGCAAAGAGAGUAACUAAUUGCAUGCUGACUUUUGGAAUGUAGUAUACCUACAUCUAUAGUAUAGUCAAGGCUAUGGUUUUCCCAGUUGCAAUGUAUGGCUGUGAAAGUUGGACCAUAAGGAAAGCUGAAUGCCAAAGAAUUGAGGCCUUUGAACUCUGGUGCUGGAGAAGACUCCUGCGAGUCCCUUGGACUGCAAGGCAAUCAAACAAGUCAGUCCUAGAGGAGAUUAACCCUGACUGCUCUUUAGAAGGCCAGAUACUGAAGAUGACACUCAAAUACUUUGGCCACCUAAUGAGAAGGAAGGACUCAGUGGAGAAAUGGGCAAAAUAAGAAGGUGACUGAUUUUCCUUUAUCUUUUAUUUCUUUUGUAAGUCUAUCCAUCUCUUCAUACUCUAAAACUUUCCUUAUCACAUUUUCCUCUGAUGGAAAAUGCAGACUGUGAUGCAGUCAGUGUAAGCCUAAAUGGACUCUGGAGAUGGUAGAGGACAGGAAGGUCUGGAGGAAUGCUGUCCAUGGGGCCGUGAUGGGUCAGACAUGACUUCCAGACUAACAACAACAAAUACUUUUCUUCAUCCAAGAUGCCAAAGAAUUGAGAUUGAUUUUUGUGGAGGAGACUAACCCAAUUUGAGGAGCAUGUAAUGUGAUUUACAGGCAACUGCUAAAUCUCCAAAAUCUAGUUAAAACUUCCAAUAGAAAAUGCGAAAAUGGAAAUCUUGGGUGAUUUCUUGGAAAUCUCAUGAAUCUUGCAUACGGGGAGUCUUUCAUUUAAAUGCUUGCCGCAAUUUGACCAUGCAAUUUUUAAAAAGAAAUUAUUUAAAGUUGGUUGGAAGAUGAGUGGGUAGAUAAAUGUCUUAAUCAAGUAAAACAAGUGAAUUACAUCAUCUUAUAAAAGAGGCGUCUGCUUUCUUCCUCAUUUUUGAAGUGCCAGGUUUCUUUUAAAUUUCUAUUGAUGGUAUCAAUCCUGAGCAUUUCUAGUAUUUUGUUUUUACUAGAAAUGUGGAGAAUGUUAUCACUGGCACAGUGGUGGAAUUCAAUUUUUUUUACUACUGGUUCUGUGGGCGUGGCUUGGUGGGCAUGGCUUGGGAAAGGAUACUGCAGGGGAAGGAUGGCAGGGGAAGGAUACUGCAAAAUCUCCAUUCCCACUCCACUCCAGGGGAAAGAUAUUGCAAAAUCUCCAUUCCCACCAGUGUUGGGUUGCUCCCGGUUCUCUUGAACUGGUAGUAAAACCAGCGGAGGAGGCUCUGCCCACCUGCCAUGACGUCAUCAUGGGUCACCUGCGCAUGCACAGAAGCUUCUGCAUAUGCACAGAAAAGCCCUUGCUCCCGCUGCGAACUGGUAGUAAAGGUAAGUAGAACCCACCCCUGAUUCCCACCCCACUCUGGGGCUAGCCAGAGGUGGUAUUUGCUGGUUCUCCAAACUACUCAAAAUUUCCACUACCGGUUCUCCAGAAUCUCUCAGAACCUGCUAAAUAGCACCUCUGCCUUGGCAUUGUUGCUUUCAAGGGACACAUCUUUUUAUCAUUCAGAUGUUUCUGUGGCUGAGUCCUUUUCUGAAAAGUACAGACAGGAAAUAUUCCCCUAUGUCAUUUUCAAUUGGAAAAUGGAAAACUUGGGAGCUUGUAAGCUUCCCAAGAAAGGAUUCUACAGUGAGAGAUACAACAUUCACACUCAAAAAACCUUAAAGGUCUCUAGAAAAUGCAUAUUCUACCGACAACAAUUUUGAUUCACAUUUUCUUCUGUUUUGGAAGAAAAGCUGGAAGUAAUUUUUCUUUCAUCAAACCACAUGACAAUGGAUAGAAAAAAUGCUGGAGAAAUGUUCUCACAACACUUCUCAGAAUCUCUCCAUUGGGCUACUGUUUUAUUGCUAUGCAUUAUUACUACUACUACUACCACUACUAUUACUCCAUUAGUAUUUCCUCUGAGAGCAUUUCUGUGUAAGAGGAAAGUAUAAUUAAAAAUACCUCCAAAGAAGAAUAAAGGGAAUUGGGGGAUAAUAAAUUCUUAGUCUAAAGAAAAAAUGCUGGUUUCUUCUAUUGCCUACAUAUAAUGCCAUGUUAAUUCCAUUCACAUUCGCAACUUGGUUUUAGGCUGGCUAAGCUGCUUCCAAAUAUCCUUUCUUAUUUGGGCCAAAAUAUAGAUGUAUUUGAAACAUAUUUCUAUUCAAUCUCAGUCAAAAUUAUUCUCAGAGACUAAAAAUCUAAACCAUUUCAAACUAAAGAGGAAUAGAGAUAAAAGCAACAAUCAGCCAAAACAAUGGAACAAUAAAAGAAUAAAAAGAAAGGAUAGGUUCAUACCUGAAGUCAAGGAAAAUUUCUGCAACAAUUCUGUUUUCAAAAAUUUCUGAAAAAUCAGCAUAGAGGGACAAUUGGUGCAUUUACUCCAUUCAGCUAUUCAAAUCUCUAAAUUUGUGGAUUUGCUUCUGCUAGUUGUUUUAAUAGGUUGAGCCAGUAAUGGUUGGAUAAGGGAUCCUGUAGGUUCCAAACCAUAAUGAGCUAUAGAGAUAAAAAAAACAGCCCUGUCUCAAAACCGAUCGACAAGCAGUACACAAAUCACAAAAAUGUAUUAAAUGCAGUGGUGAAAUCCAAAUUUUUUUACUACCAGUUCUGUGGGCAUGGCUUGGUGGGCAUGGUGUGGCUUGGUGGGCAUGGCAGGGGAAGGAUACUGCAAAAUCUCCAUUCCCACCCCACUCUAGGGGAAGAAUACUGCAAAAUCCCCAUUCCCGCGCCACUCUGAGGCCAGCCAGAGGUGGUAUUUGCUGGUUCUCCAAACUGCUCGAUAUUUCCGCUACUUGUUCUCUAGAAUCUGUCAGAACCUGCUGGAUUUCACCUCUGAUUAAAUGCACUCAACACUGGAAAUGUGGGCUGCCGCAUUUGGAACCUGUUGUUGUUUCUGAGUUGUCUUUCAGGGCCGCUUCAAAUGGAGCACAUUGCAAUGAUGAUAUUAAAUGUUAUUAAGCGGUCCAAUGAACUAGGAGUGGUAUACCAUCUAAGAGAGCAGCCAAUGAUGGCUACACCUCACGCUCACGUUGAACCAACGGAAAAGGGUCAAAAUGAUCUACUUACUCUAGGAUACUGCAAAGUUGAUCUGUCACUGCCAGUUUAGGGAAAAGAUGAUUUAUCCAGUGAUUUCAUUAACCUCAGACCUCAUCUAAGCACACCUCCUAAAACCUUCUGCCUUCUUCUGAAUGAUGAUCUCUAUUCCCUAAUGGCAGCAGGAGGAGAUGAUUAGGUCAUGGGAGACAAGACGAUAUGUGGUUAUUUCGCUUCUCAGUAGCCGUUGUAAUGGAAAAGUGCAAUUAAAUUUAAUUAAACAGGUUUAAUGAACAAAAUGUUAAUACAGUACCAGUUUAUUAUUACAAUCAGGCCUUAAUGUGUAUUUGGUUUAAUUGAUUCAAGGCUGUUGUAAACCUCCAUUCUGUCUAGAUAUGCAGCUUUGGGGCGAGAUUCAAAUCAGCCUCUCCUUGAACUGCUCAGAGGAAAAUGGUAGCAAUCCAAAGUGGGCCAAACUGUUCAUCCAGGCAAUCAGACCUGCAAGCGUGGCAUUUUCUUUAUGACAUCUUAGAGAUUAAUCAGCAAAAUGUAGUUACAGAGGGGAUGACAUUUCAUUUGCUGUUCUAAAAUGUCCAGGAUAGAAGAGCAAAAAUAUCAGAAAGAAAAAAAAAAUGUGACCCAAAGUGAGUUUUGUGAAUAUCCUCUUACUUAAACUGCUGCGUCCAGGCUACACUCUGGUCUGCAGAAGCCGCUGAGCCCUGAUUGGCUCGAAUGAAUCGGGCGUGAGUGUGUAAGAAGUUGUCAGAUGGGCUGACAGCCGCUGCUCUUGUUAGCCGAGCAGCCUCGCUAGCCGCAAAAUUAGUGAACCUGUUAACACGUUAAUGUUAACUAAAAAAUCUUGUUAGACUCUUACAAAUCAUCUUACCUCAGUCUGUUUGUCCCUACCAGGGACAUAACAUAAACUUUCCAUUUUUUCUAUUGCCAGUGGUGGUAUUCAGUCGGUUCUAUCCAGUUCGGGUGAAUUGGUAGUGGCAGCUGCGAGGGGCUCUGCCCAUCCGCCUGGACGUCAUCACAUCCUGUUUUUGAUGCUCUGCGCAUGCGCGAACAUUUGUGAACUGGUAGCGAAGGACCACUGUUCUCAAUAGUAUCAAUGUCUAAAUGGGCAUGCAGGAUUGAUUACUAAAGUAAAGAAGGCCACACUUUUGACCUAGCACCAUGUAAUGUUGGCAACAUUCAAGUAAGAAAUUAUGGAGAAAGACAGCAAGGAAUGAACGUUGGGUCUUAAGGCAUGCUUGAGUCCCACUGAAAUUACCAGAGUCCCAUUAAAACAACAACAGGAAAAUGGCAGAAGGAAAGGAGCCUGAAGGUGGCUGGAAGAAGGGAAGAAAAUGUUGCAUGGUGGAAAAAGGAAGCAGGAGGGAAGUUCUUGUCUGUCUAUCAAUGAGCUCAUGUGGUGAGCAUGGCAAGGAAGCAAGCAAAGGUCUUGCAUGGGUCAGUGGAUGGAGAAAACACCUGGAAAACAGAAUUGGACUAAUACAACAAUAUAAGUGUCUUCAGAGUUUUUUAUGCCCAGAACACACAUAUAGGUUAUCUAGAAAAAUAAAACCUUGUAUUAAUUUGUUUUAAAAAUAUCCUUAGCAAAGUAUAUGUAUUUUUCCCUUCUUUUUUUUAUCCUAUUGCCAUAACCAGACAUUCUGUGUUCUGGGGUUUCUAUAUAAGUUUGCUUUUUAAAGUAAGCUGUUUAAUUUAAUAAAAACUGUGGUGGUUCAACUAUAAAGUUAGUUUU